AAUUUUUUGUAUUCACUGGAUAAUUAUGAGAAUUUUUAAAAAUCGAUCACAAUCUCCUAAACCUAAAAGCAAUCCUUGCCUUUCCUUUUCUACGUUCCCUCCCAAUCCCCAAACUCAUGAACGUGCUUAUUAGUAGCUUUCUGAGCUAAGAUCACAAACAAGAAAGGAAGUUCUCUUUCUCUUUAAAUUACAAUCAUCACCCCAGAAACAUCCAGCCACGUGGAGGUACUUCACAAAUACGUCCUCUCAACCCCAGCAGCCACUGUGCAUCCCCCAGCGAAACAUCUUCUAGGAGGAAAUUCAUCAAGAUUUACCUUUCUCUUCCUUUGCCUCGAGCUUGGGCUUGAACUGACGUGUCAGAUGGCUGAUGUCUUCACUUCUACAUAGUACGGAAUUUAUCACAAAGGAAACGAAAAAUCCUCCAGCUCACCUCUGCUGUGUGUCCGCCUGAGCUGGCUGCCCAGAUGGAGCGCCUACAGCGAAGGUCAGAGGCAACCCCAGUGGGCCAGACCCAGCCGUGAGGAGGGCUGGGGCUGACUGCUGAUGGCGAGGCGUGGGGCCACUGCCCCACAGCCAGAUUUAUGGCUGAGCAAGGCAGUUAAGGGUGGCUCCAGUCCUACCAACCAGGAGAUAUUGACAACACCCUCACAUCAUCUCAGACAGAUUUUUACGCUGAAAUAGAAGCCUCAUGAUUGGACAAGGCAAACAUUUCAGAUAGUGCUAAGAGCGAGGAGGGGAAAAAAAGAUAAGAAAAGGACUCACCCCUACCCGUAACAAUAUCUACUUGCUUUAAGGGUGGGAAGCUGGGAGGUGGGGGAAGCUUCAAUCAUUAAGGAGGGAAAUCUCAGACUCCUUGUCUGGUUUGUGUCACAGAACUUGGGUUUAAGGCCUGCUUCCGCCUCUUGCACAGCAUGCGAGUUUUAGGGCAAAUUACUCUAUGCUUUCUGAAUCUCAUUUUCCCGAUUUGCAUCUUGAGGAUAAAAAUAUCUGUCCUAUCUCCUUCACAGACUGAAUGUGGAAAUCUAUGCGAAACCACCUUAAAAAAACAAAACUGUGAAAUGCAACACAAAUAUCCAGUACCAUUAAUAAUUUUUAGUUACAAAUUUAAUUUGGUGUUGCAGGAUAUCUUAGCAUAAUGGUUGGCUGCUUCAGAUAUUUUAGUAACUAUUAGUACAUUAGCGAUUACACGUUUAUGUAUAUAAGUUUGGAAUUGCCCAAAUCCCACUGUCAGCAAUUGUCCAAUUUUGAUCAAUUCCCCUAUAAUUACAGCACCUAAAACUAUCUAAUUUGUCAGAUGUGUCAAAUGUUAACAAAAACAGUGGCACAAGCUGUGUGCUGGUAUUAUUACAUGUUAGGAAAUGUAAGAAGGAAGCCAGGCUCCGUGGCUUGGCUUGUGAAAGCACCUGUCUGGUAGAAAAGGUAAGAUCAGCUCACACUGGACAGCUGACAUUACCUUAAGCCAGGUGCACUCAACCAUGAUGAUUCUGGCCCCCACAAUACCUAGAAAUAUUUUUGGCGGUCACGACUGAGGUCAUGGUACUGACAUCUAAUGGGAAGAGUUCAGAGAUGCUGUUAAAACCUCUUAUAAUGCACAGGACGGCCCCCACGGCAAUGAUUAUCUUGGUUCCAUAUGUCAUUAGCGCAGAGGCUGAGAAACUCUGCCUUGAAAUUUUUUUGCCUAUCUCAUUAAACCCACUAAAAUACAAGAAAAAAUACUCCUAAAAGUCUAAAGCAAGAGCAUCGGCACUCUGUCAAAGGAGCCAAACUGCCUAACAAAUUCUGCAAAUACUGCCCGAACCUGCUUCCCUCGUCUUGUGUCAAUGAACUGCCCUUGGAUGCAGGAAAACGCAGACGGGACAGAGCUCAUUUCGAAUCAUAAACCUGGACCCAGUUUGGCUGACGGGCGGGCAAAAGGAACAUCUGGUCUCCAUAGGCAUAGUGCUCAGCGGGAGGAAUCCUUAUAAAUGGGCAGAAAGCAGGCUGCUGCUUCAGGCCUCAAAAGCCAAGCAGCCAUCGUGGAGCCGCCCUGGUUCUAUUUCAAUUCAGCAGGACUCCUUCCAAAGGCACAUUAACAGAUGAAUGGACAAACCCAUCUGCAGCAAGGAAUGCCCAGAACAGGAUCUCAGUGGACAAGCAUGGCUGGUAUUCAACAGGGGAAAAGCAAUAAAUUCCAUAGAGACAAAAGCCCAGCUUUUGCACAGUUCAUCACCUUUCUAAGCCAAUUUAUCAUAAGCAGGAUCCCUCAGCACUCACACCUGCUUUUAUACAAAAUGUUAACAUCUGCAGCAUUGCUUACAUAAGUGUUUGUCCUAAGGUUCAUGACCCACUGAUGCAUCAUUUAAUGAUUUGAGACCAAUAAUUUUUUUGGCUGCGCCUGUGGUAUGCAGAAAUUCCAGGGCCAGGGACCAAACCCGAACCACAGCAGUGAUAACACCAGAUCCUUAACCCGCUGAGCCACCAGGGAACUCCUAGUAUCAAUAUUUUUAGAUGACUAGAAUAUAAUGGAGAAGAAAAGAAGAAAAGAGAAAAGGAAAGAAAAGGAACAGAGAAUACAGUAAAAGGAACAGAGAAGAUUUUAUCUGAAAAAGGACACUAAAUUUUUUGUGUGCUUGAAUGUUUGCCUAUAUUCUGGGUUGUGAAGUAAAAUUAUAUCUCCUUGAGUAAUGAUCAAUAAAAAAAAGAGUUUGAAAAAACUGCUUUAAAAAAAAAUUUGUUUGGCCAUGCCCAUGGCAUAUGGAAGUUCCCAGACUAUGGAUCAAACCCACGUCACAGCAGCAACCUGAGCCUCUGCAGUGGCAACACCAGGUCCUUAAUCCACUACACCACAAGGGAACUCCUGAAAACAGUGAUUUAUAAAACCGCAAGUAGUAGUUUCAUCAGAAUGGCACAUCCAUUCUAACAAGACCCAAGGACAACCCAAGUCUAGAGGGUCAUGAAACAUUUGAAAAAUCAUUGCUCAAAGCAAAUAAUUCAGCUGGAUAAGAAGAGCCAGAAGGAAAAAGACUCAUCAUCAUUAAUCGGGUUAUGGGUGUCCGGCACUGUCACUGCCAUGGCUCAGGUCACUUCAAUCCCUGGCCUAGGAAUUCCCAUGUGCCAUGGGUACAGCCAAAAAAAAAAAAAAGUGCAGGUCUGGGCACCACAUGUGAGGUCCAUGUACUCGCCCUUCUGCAGUCUAUGAAUUAAAAGAAGCUUCCACUGGACACUCAAAUGCUUUCUAUGAAAAUUAAAAAUCCCCCCCCCCAAAAGAAGUCAGCUGAAGAACUGGGUCUUGAGACUGUGUGGGAUUCUGCUGGAUGAAGAAAGGAAAGCAGGACAUUUCAAGGAAUAGAAAACAGUGCGUCUGAAGACACAGGCUCUCCAGAACCACUCUCUGAAUCCAUAAGUGACUGAAUCAACCAGCAGACAGCAGACUCAAUGAAGAAAGCCCCCAGCUUGCUCAGGAACGGUGACAAGCGCAGCAGGGGCUGAGCACAAGUGUCAGGGACAACGUUCAGAGAGGUGAGCAGGAAACAGUGAGAGGGGAAGGUGGAAGGAGGGAGCGGGGGCUGGGGGAGACCUGACCAUCACCGCCCAUCACCCUCGUGUCCUCCCUCACUGGCCCAGGAGCCCCGCCGUGGCACCAUCUCCUGGGGACACGCUGGGACACCCCCCAGGAAGGAGUCCACAGGAACCAACAGCUCCGACAUCAGUGUGGGCAGCAGCACUGGCAGAAGAAAGAAAACGCCCUUGGUGUUGGCGGCAACUUGGGGAGCAGAAGUGAAAUGAGCGUUUCCAUGCCCAACUCGACGUGCAUUUUUUUCCCAGGAGAGAAACAAAAGCCCCGUCAUCUCUGAUCCCCUCUCCAAAGGGGCUUCUCGGCUCUUGGAGGAAAGGGGAGCAAUUCCCAACGUGAACCGUCUGUAGAAUCAAUAAGCGAGUUUACAACGUCUCCCGCAGCGUGGAGUGUAGGAGAGUGGUGGUGAGACCCACAAUCCCACAAAUAUUACUGCUAUGCCUUUGGAAUGUCGGUGAGUUGAGAGGCCCAGCUACAUCUGCGCCAUCACGGAAACUGAAAAUAUUUCAGGGUUGUUUUUUUUUUUUUUUUAAAUCACCACUUCCAUAAAAGUGACAGCAUUCAUAGAGUCUAAACUGAUCUAUGGAAAGAGAAACUUUCUUAUUUUUCUUUCAGAAAUGAACAAAACAAAUCCCAUGCAUAUUCAUUCACGGUCUUUCAAGCAGGAAUUUUUUUUUUUUUUAAAUACCGAAUGUUGAGUCCCUGUCUACAUUUUCUCCCAAGGGUCCUUCAAGUCUCAUCCACAAAUACUGGCCAACGCCUUGGUCUCUGUAGAGCCUGUACUGCUUUGGUGACUGCUGGAAACAAAGAUUCACAAGAUUGGAAAUGGUUAGCAUGACCUUUUUUUCUUUUUUUCUCUCCUGUCGGAGGUUCUCAGGCUAAGGGUCGAAUCGGAGCUGGAGCCUCUGGCCUACACCACAGCCACAGCCAAUGCUAGAUCUGAGCCGUGUCUGCCACCUACACCACAGCUCACGGCAA
rnacentral:lncRNA from 1 species